ACCUGCGGAAGGAUCAUUAUUGAAAUAAACUUGAUAAGUUGUUGCUGGUUCUCUAGGGAGCAUGUGCACACUUGUCAUCUUUGUAUCUCCACCUGUGCAUCUUUUGUAGACCUUGGGUAUCUCUCUGAUUUGCUUAGCACUCAGGAUUGAGGAUUGACUUUUCUGUCUUUCCUUACAUUUCCAGGUCUAUGUUUUUUCAAAUACUCUAAUGUAUGUUUAUAGAAUGUAAUAAAUAGGUCUUUGUGCCUAUAAAUUGAUACAACUUUCAGCAACGGAUCUCUUGGCUCUCGCAUCGAUGAAGAACGCAGCGAAAUGCGAUAAGUAAUGUGAAUUGCAGAAUUCAGUGAAUCAUCGAAUCUUUGAACGCACCUUGCGCUCCUUGGUAUUCCGAGGAGCAUGCCUGUUUGAGUGUCAUUAAUAUAUCAACCCUUUUGGUUGAAUGUGGGUUUGCUGGCCGCUUUUGAGGUCAGCUCUCCUUAAAUGCAUUAGCGGACAACUUUGUUUUUUUGCCAAACGCUCAUUGGUGUGAUAAUUAUCUACGCUAUUGACGUGAAGCAGGGUUCAGCUUCUAACAGUCCAUUGACUUGGACAAAUUUAUUAAUGUGACCUCAAAUCAGGUAGGACUACCCGCUGAACUUAAGCAUAUCA
rnacentral:rRNA from 1 species